rnacentral:lncRNA from 1 species
GCAUUCAUGUGAUUCAUUUGGCAACAGCUAAGAAAACAAUGGGAUAAAAAUGAUGUUGAAUGCUCGUUUUGAUUAAACUGACUUUCUGACUAGUAAAUAUAGACGCGUGUACACGAAGAUUAAUAUAAUUCAUAGCCGUUGUGUGCAUAAGCGCACCUGUCACACCUGCUGGCGUCACGAAAUGAAUCUUUUUGAAAUAUUCGAGUGAGCGAAUCAAAAGCAAGACACGCGGGAAAUCAACCAUACAUGCUGCAUUGGGCUGCAAUCUCUCCUAAAUUAAACAAUAAUGAAUAACAUCCAAGGCUUAACCAAGUCUCUGGAAAUGAACUUACAGUGUUAUGGAGUAUUUCACACGGGACGAAACAGCAUCCAAUGAACAAUUGGUCAUGGAGUUAAUGGGAAAUAAAACUACUGAAUAUUGCAGAAGUGCAGGAUGUUUUACAUUCAAGCAAAGACCCGCUUGACCUUUGAGUGAUACAAUCAGAUGUACGUGAUGAGAGAAAAGCAACCCAAACCGAAGAGUUAUGAAUCAGCACACACGGUACCAAAAUACAGCCAAGAAUCAGAUGAUCUCUGGGUUGACGAGUCUGGAUUCAAACCAAUAUUC